rnacentral:rRNA from 1 species
AACGAACGCUGGCGGCGUGCCUAACACAUGCAAGUCGAACGAGAAAGGGGCUUCGGCUCCGAGUAAAGUGGCGCACGGGUGAGUAACACGUGGGUAACCUGCCUCUAAGAUUGGGAUAACUCGUCGAAAGAUGAGCUAAUACCGAAUAAGACCACAGUUCCCGCGGGAACAGGGGUCAAAGGUAGCCUCUGCUUGCAAGCUAUCACUUAGAGAUGAGCCUGCGCACCAUUAGCUAGUUGGUAGGGUAACGGCCUACCAAGGCAAAGAUGGUUAGCUGGUCUGAGAGGAUGAUCAGCCACACUGGAACUGAGACACGGUCCAGACUCCUACGGGAGGCAGCAGUGGGGAAUAUUGCGCAAUGGGCGAAAGCUUGACGCAGCAACGCCGCGUGAGUGAUGAAGGCCUUCGGGUCGUAAAGCUCUGUCGGGAGGAACGAAUGCUCCUGAGGUUAACAGCCUCGGGAGGUGACGGUACCUUCAAAGGAAGCACCGGCUAACUCUGU